CAAUGAAUUUAAGAUUUAUAUAUAAAAUAAUAAUUUUUAUUAGAA
rnacentral:tRNA from 2 species